rnacentral:rRNA from 1 species
UACGUAGGGGGCUAGCGUUGUCCGGAAUCAUUGGGCGUAAAGAGCGCGUAGGCGGCCAGAUAAGUCCGGUGUGAAAGUCAAAGGCUCAACCUUUGAAUGCCGCUGGAAACUGUCUGGCUAGAGUCCGGGAGGGGCGAGUGGAAUUCCUGGUGUAGCGGUGAAAUGCGCAGAUAUCAGGAGGAACACCGGUGGCGAAGGCGGGUCUCUGGACCGAUACUGACGCUGAGGAGCGAAAGCGUGGGGAGCGAACAGG